rnacentral:rRNA from 1 species
UACAGAGGUCUCAAGCGUUGUUCGGAUUCAUUGGGCGUAAAGGGUGCGUAGGUGGCGCGCUAGGUCAGGUGUGAAAUUUCGGAGCUUAACUCCGAAACUGCAUUUGAUACUGGCGUGCUGGAGGACUGGAGAGGAGACUGGAAUUCACGGUGUAGCAGUGAAAUGCGUAGAUAUCGUGAGGAAGACCAGUGGCGAAGGCGGGUCUCUGGACAGUUCCUGACACUGAGGCACGAAGGCCAGGGGAGCAAACGGG